UAUGAUUCUUGGGUGAUGCACCCCAGAAUCGGGCUUCCUGCUUUCUGGUUCCGGAGUAUGUCACCCGAGAACUGCC
rfam:Myotis lucifugus cont2.30801, whole genome shotgun sequence.